GUUCACUAUAGACCCUGGAAGAUUUCAUAACAUCUCUCUAGGACAAAAGCAGGUGAUGGUUGCAAAGGAGGCACUCAAGAAAGCUGCCCCACAUGGCCAUUGGGUUCUUUUCCAAGUGGGUUCCACAGGAAGACUCCUUAGUGAGAUCAUGUAAGGUGGCCACAUCACAGGUGCCUGGGACUGCAGGCUCUGCUGGAUCUGUCUGCAAGAAUUCCUCAGCCCAGCCCUGCUUGAAAGGGAGCUUGGCACCAUGUUUCUUGGCCUCUCCAAAUCCGGUUUACGAUAGAUACCACAAAUACAUAGAUGAAAUGCUUCCAUCUGAAAGCCCUGUACUAUAUGGACUGCACCCUAGUGCUGAGAUGGGAUUCUUGUCAACAUCAGAUAAUCUCUUCAAAAUUCCUUUGGAAAAGCAACCCAUAUAUACGUGGGAGAGGGAUCAGGCCAAUCUGCGUGAAGAGGGGGAGCUGAUGUUUUCUGCUCACAUGGAAAUGCCACAUUAUACACAAUAUAUACUCUUCUGUGAUGUUGUGCCAGACACAUGGACUAAACCAGCGUAUGCACCCACACACAACUUUGUCCACUGA
rnacentral:lncRNA from 1 species